UGAGGAAUUUUGCGCAAUGGGAGCAAUCCUGACGCAGCAACGCCGCGUGGGUGAUGAAGGCCUUCGGGUCGUAAAGCCCUGUCAGGUGGGAAGAAUGUCCCGGGACUGAACAGGUUUUGGGAGUGACGGUACCACCAGAGGAAGCACCGGCUAACUCCGUGCCCGCAGCCGCGGUACUACGGCGGGUGCAAGCGUUAUUCGGAAUUACUGGGCGUAAAGCGCGUGUAGGCGGUCCUGCAAGUCUGAGGUGAAAGCCCCGGGCUUAACCCGGGAAGUGCAUUGGAAACUGUGGGACUUGAGUACUGGAGAGGAUGGGGGAAUGCCCGGUGUAGAGGUGAAAUUCGUAGAGAUCGGGAGGAAUAUCAGUGGCGAAGGCGCCCAUCUGGACGGUAACUGACGCUGAGACGCGAAAGCGUGGGGAGCAAACA
rnacentral:rRNA from 1 species